UAACGAAUCUUCCACAAUGCACGAAAGCGUGAGGGAGCGACGCUGCGUGGAGGAUGAAGUCCUUCGGGAUGUAAACUCCUGUCGGGAGCUACCAAGUUCUGAGGAGCUCUAAAGGAAGAGGCGGCUAACUCUGUGCCAGCAGCCGCGGUAAGACAGAGGCCUCGAGCGUUAGGCGGAAUCACUGUGCUUAAAGCGUGUGUAGGUGGAUUUGUAAGUGCUUUGUGAAAUCCCACGGCUUAACCGUGGAACUGCUUGGCAUACUGGGAAGCUUGAGCUAGCUAGGGGCAACUGGAACAGACGGUGGAGCGGUGAAAUGCGUAGAUAUCGUCUGGAACACCAAUGGUGAAGGCGGGUUGCUGGGGAUAUGCUGACACUGAGACACGAAAGCCAGGGGAGCAAACG
rnacentral:rRNA from 1 species